UCGAGAAUCUUCGGCAAUGGGCGCAAGCCUGACCGAGCGACGCCGCGUGGAGGACGAAGGCCUUCGGGUUGUAAACUCCUGUCGAGGGGGAAGAAGGCCCCGCAAGGGGCUUGACUGAUCCCUGGAGGAAGCACGGGCUAAGUUCGUGCCAGCAGCCGCGGUAAGACGAACCGUGCGAACGUUAUUCGGAAUCACUGGGCUUAAAGCGCGUGUAGGCGGGAGGGCACGUCCGUCGCUGAAAUCCCCCGGCUCAACCGGGGAACGGGCGCGGAUACGACCUUCCUGGAGGGGCGUAGGGGGACCUGGAACUUCCGGUGGAGCGGUGAAAUGCGUUGAGAUCGGAAGGAACGCCCGUGGCGAAAGCGAGGUCCUGGACGCCUACUGACGCUGAGACGCGAAAGCCAGGGGAGCGAACGG
rnacentral:rRNA from 1 species